UGCUGUGGUGUCACGGGAUCUAUACUUGUGAUGCAGAUAAGUUCAACGCACUUGUUUUUGUCUGCAUAUGUUAAGUUUCUAACCUACUUGUCUUUUCUUCUUCUUUUGUUCUUGCCGUAGUUAUUAGUAUUAUUUGCCCUAGUUAUUAGAAUUCUGGAUACGGACACGGUCUUAAAUGGAACGUUAUUCCUUUUCCAGGACACGGUCUUACUUACCUGGGUUUGUAUCUCAUGAAUGGCAACGGCCAGCCUGCACUCCUCUAUCUCGUUCCAUGUACACUAGGUGUUGUAGUGAUUUUGGGACUGAUAAGGCGCGAGCUGAAACAAUUCUGGGAUUACGGCGCAGAGGUAUCUCCAUCGAGCGUUGAACCGUCCGUAGACGCCAGUAGAUCGGUCUGACGGCCCCCGUUUGUAUGUACAUUAUUGGAGAUGAUGCUCGUCUUCUCCAUAAAAGCUUAUGGUAUAAGAGGUUCAUUUGUUUAUUUUGUACAAGAAUUAUGCUCAACUCAAAAUGCAUUCGUGUAUAUAUUAUAUUAUCCAAGAGUU